rnacentral:lncRNA from 1 species
GAGAUCGAUCAGCAACUGUUAAUGGAUACUGUCCAUAAAUACGAAAUAUGGGUAGUCGAAUCUUCUUCUCCCUAGUUCUUAUCGAAUCUUCUUCUCCCCAGUUCUUGUGAAAAUAGCUGAUGGUAGAAAGUUACAGCUACUUCUGCAAUUUCCCUUCAUCUUCUGAUCAACUAUAUUGCUCGCUCUUGAUAUUAUGAAUGUUUGGUUUCCUGCUCCCAUCCCGUAUGACAUUUUAAACAAAAGCUAAGCUAGAGUUUCCAUCUUCUAACCAUUUCACUCUUCCCUUCUGUUUUAAGAUAGAACCCUCAGCCUUUAAGCUAAAUAUAUUCUGCAAUAGAUUUAUUUAACUGGUUUCUGUUUUCUGAACUGUUAACCUUUAUAUAUGUCUCCUCAAGCUGCUGUAUUUUACAGUCAGUAAUCCAGUAAUAUGUUUAACCAAUCAAUACAUGUGACAAACAAAGUCUAACUUCCUAACCAAAAAUAUUUGCUAUAAGUAUAAUAUGUGCUUAGAAAUGUGUGUUUAAGAGAACCGUCGUACCUGACUACUAUUUUCCUAGUUAUUUGAUUUGAAUAUAUACCUAGACCUUCCACGUAAGAGGUUACCCUACCACCUACUAUUCAUUUGAAUAAAACUGCACAAAUUGUGGAAUAAUUAUUAUGAACUACAUAAACCCAAAAGUAGAGACUCAAGGAACACAUCCUGUCUAAAAUACUCUCUGGUGCUUAAUUAUCCCCAUUUCCCAGUGGCAUAGCGUAUAUGUAUAACCUGAAUACAAUAACAACAGGCAGAUAUAAGCCUGACAGUAUAGUAAUUUGAUUAUACUGACAGAAAAUAACACAGAGAAUGCAAGCAAAGAAUUCUUUGCUUGAGCAGUUGCAGCAAAAGAAUGCUGCGGGGAAAAAGAAUGCUAUACCAAUAUGGUAUAACGAAAGCAGCAAAAGUUUAGUGCAAGGAAAAGGAAAAGAAUGUUUCAAUUCCUUUUAUCUGAUUUCAAUCGUGUGGAAUCCAACUGAUAUCUGAAUCAAAAAUAAUAACGACAUAGAUAACAAAGCUACGAAAUUGGUCGUUUACCCGCCUGAUAAACCGAAAUAAGCUUUUAUCUGGGAGUAGUCCAAGAAACACUUUCUCCUCUAGAUUUUUGGAUUGCCCACGUCAUAAAAGUACAGGAAGAGAUAAAUCCUGGAUAAAUAUAAGAAAAUAUCUAGUCAUUGAUAAGUAAAGAAAGGCCUCCUAGGAAUUGUCCUGUAUUUCUAUUUGAUAUUUUUCCGCCUUAGAUUUGAGUCCAUAAGAACUAUUCCCCCUCCUCCCCCCAAUCCAUAAAUAAGAAUGAUGAAGUGUGGUAUACAUUCUAACAUUGAAAAUAAUCUCAAGCAUUCUUAUCCUAGGUAAUGAUAUGGACACACCGGGUAUAGUUAAUUAAGAUUACGGCGUUAAUUUGUCAAAUAAAUGUGCUCGAGUUAAGCGUUCACUUCAAUAUUUUGGCAUCAUUUUGGUGUAUAACUAAUGAAAUAAUAUAGAAAAUCGGUAUUGAAGUGAGUGCUCAGUACUCUCCUUCGAGGCAUACAUUAUUAUCAACACUGUCAUGACAUGAACCUUAGACAAAAAGAUAUAGCCCAGCCUUCAUAUACUAUUUUUAAGAAGUGAAAAAAAGGACCAACCCAUAAUUAUUGGUCAUUGACCAUUUCGUAAAGACAUAUAAAUGAUGUGUGUGGUCAUAUUGACGCAUACCUCAUGCUAUCUUCUCAGUCAUUUGAAUAACAAUCAAACUUUGCUUUGUUAUCAGUGAGCAGAUCCUAUAAAACAAAUCAAGACGCAUCCAACCCCGGAAAAAAUCACCGCUUCGUCAAUUUUGACAUCAAGAUAGUAAUUCAAGGUUGUUCCUGUCAUAAUCAAAAGAAGAGUUCCAAAUUAAACAAACUAUGGUACUACGAAUUACCUUUCACAGAGGACAACAUUCAUGAGUUGGCUAUUUCAAAAAAGUUUAUAAACCAUUGAAGUUGAGUCUACUAACAUCAUAAAGAUCAAUCAAAACAAAGUACAACACAGUCUAAUUUCUAUCCAUUCUGAAAGAGACUUUACAUUAGCAUGCAAUGGAGGCAAGUAAAUGCCUAAAACUUGAGCUCCGGCAAAAUACAAACACUCAGCCAACGUAGUAUGCAUGUUUAAGAAAAAGGAAAUCAAGAAUCUUCUCUUGACUAUAUUUCCUGCUUUACAACUUAACUAAAUAUUGACUAAUAACUAUAGUAUACAGCACAGAUAUUGAGCAAUAUAUUGCGAGAAGCUCAAGGUUCUGCAGGGAAAAAGCAUUAAGCAAGCAGAACUCAGUAUUGAGCACGAAUUGAGUAAAAUCCUGAGCUUUAACGGACUUUAAAGGAGAACAAUAAUUCAUCUAUAAUUUUAAAAUUCAAAUAAAGUUUACCUAUUUAUGGUCUAAUUUUAUGCAAAGGAAAAAAGGAAAUAUUAUAUAGCACAAUAUCGGAUUACACUUUCCUUUUCUCUUUUCGAUACCAUGGAAUCAAAGGCCAGGAUCACAAAACUCCCUCGACCUCAAAAAGGUUUACAACAAAAAUUUUAAGAUCGAAGUUUCUCAAAUUUAGUGUCUAAAUUCAAAGCUUUUCCCCAAUCAAACUAUUACGGUUUAUCCGAAACAAAUUUAUCAUCGGUCAUAAAAAGAAAAAAAAAAUAUGUAUUUCGUGAAACCAGCAUACAGUGUAACCCUGAGUUAACAAAUGCUUUGUUCCUCAGAGAAAGCAGCGGCAAAAACUAAUCAAAAUACCCAAAAAAGGACCUCUUUAAACCGGCAAACGUUGCAACCCUCGAUUAGUUUUUUUACUUGAAAUUUCACAAAUCCAACUCUUUGAAUUUUGCUUAAAAAAAAAAGUAAAAGGAGAAAGCAAAAUCUGAAUCGGCGAUCCCCAACGCGGGUAACUAUGAAUUACCAUGACAUCCAUUUCUGAAUAGCAGAAAUUAUGCUUCACUCGAUUGGCCACUUCUCAUAUAGUAGAUAGGUGCACUUUUUAUGGCUCGUUGGAGAAUUAUGUCAAACACAUAUAGAUGGAUAGAAUACAUAAGAAGAUGAGCAAGAAAUUAGAUUGAAAGACAAAUGGUAAACGUUUAGUAAAAACUUUGACUGAUUCAACAAUUUCCUCAGUAAGAGCAAACACAACUCGACAAUUAAACUUCCUGUGUAGCAAAGGCCUAGCAUCCCAUGAUGGCAGAGAGAAACACAAGAUAAGAAGAAGCAAGCUCACACGAAAACAACAAUCCAAACGAUAAAUUGACCAAAGGGUAAAGCUAACAACAAGAAGAGCAAGGGGAGACAGGGUUGCAGUCGCAGAGGAGUUUGAAGAUUGUGAAACUUUUCAUAUGUUGCUAGAUUGGCAAAAAAAGCAUUAAAAUAGGACGUGUCUCUGUGCUCACCUCUUAACCAUAUUCUUCUAGGAAAAAUCAAUUUACUUCCAAGAGUAUAGAAUUGAAUUUUUAAUAGCAAAAAUCCAGUAUAUCAGAAAACAAAAAAUUAAACAGAAAGACGGAGGAAAAGGCAAGGUGAAUCGAAUACCACACGGAAUAAUCUAAGAAUAUGUCACCACCCAACUGAAAACUGAUACAUUCAAGAAUUUAUUCAAACACAUAAAGAACAAAGUCUUAGCGUGAAGUAAAAGAUGAAACAGAGAAAUACAAGAUGAGAAGAAGAUAACUCACAGGAAAACAAAGAUCCGGACUGGAAAAUUCACCAAAAGUGUAGAGAUAAGAACAGGAAAAGUGAGGAGAGAGAAGGUGAAAACGGAAAUUUGCAGACGGUGGAGCUUUUCUGAUAUAACUCGGGUGUUAACCUUUUGAUCAGUGAACCUCCAUCUGCCAGAUUUCUGAAAGACCUGUCUGCCUGGUACCGAUAAGAACAAGAAGAGUGAGAUGAGAGAAGCCAAAGAAGAGUCGAUAUAAUCCAAGUGAAGCCAAAAUAAAGUUAAAUGGAAAGACAAUAUUGCCCUCGAGGUGCCGAGCAACCAUGUCGUCC